rnacentral:rRNA from 1 species
CAAGUCGGGCGGGAUUUCUUUCUGUAGCAAUACAGGAGGAAGUCUAGCGGCGAACGGGUGCUUAACACGUGGGCAAUCUGUCUUAAAGUGGGGGAUAGCUCGGCGAAAGCCGGAUUAAUACCGCAUGUGAUUAGGGGAGACAUCUCUCCGACAUCAAAGGUGGCGCAAGCUACCGCUUUUUGAGGAGCCCGCGGCCUAUCAGCUUGUUGGUGAGGUAACGGCUCACCAAGGCGUUGACGGGUAGCUGGUCUGAGAGGACGACCAGCCACACUGGGACUGAGACACGGCCCAGACACCUACGGGUGGCAGCAGUCGAGAAUUUUUCUCAAUGGGGGAAACCCUGAAGGAGCGACGCCGCGUGGAGGAUGAAGGUCUUCGGGUUGUAAACUCCUGUCAUUUGGGAACAAGUGCCGGUACGUAACUGCUACCGGCUUGAUAGUACCAGAAGAGGAAGAGACGGCUAACUCUGUGCCAGCAGCCGCGGUAAUACAGAGGUCUCAAGCGUUGUUCGGAUUCAUUGGGCGUAAAGGGUGUGUAGGUGGCGCCGUAAGUCGGGUGUGAAAUUUUAGAGCUUAACUCUGAAACUGCAUUCGAUACUGCGGUGCUUGAGGACUGGAGAGGAGACUGGAAUUUACGGUGUAGCAGUGAAAUGCGUAGAUAUCGUAAGGAAGACCAGUGGCGAAGGCGGGUCUCUGGACAGUUCCUGACACUGAGACACGAAGGCCAGGGGAGCAAACGGGAUUAGAUACCCCGGUAGUCCUGGCAGUAAACGGUGCACGUUUGGUGUGGGAGGAUUCGACCCCUUCUGCGCCGGAGUUAACACGUUAAACGUGCCGCCUGGGGAGUACGGUC